UACAGAGGUCCCAAGCGUUGUUCGGAUUCACUGGGCGUAAAGGGCUCGUAGGCGGUUUGUCGCGUCGGGAGUGAAAUCCACUGGCUUAACUGGUGGCUUGCUUUCGAUACGGGCAGACUGGAGGUAUGCAGGGGAGAACGGAAUUCCUGGUGUAGCGGUGAAAUGCGCAGAUAUCAGGAGGAACACCGGUGGCGAAGGCGGUUCUCUGGGCAUGUCCUGACGCUGAGGAGCGAAAGUGUGGGGAGCGAACAGG
rnacentral:rRNA from 1 species